rnacentral:ncRNA from 1 species
UGAGGGCGUCGUAAGGUGCCCCGACCGCGGUGCAGAAGUCAGCAGAGGGCGUAGUAGGCCAAGCAGUCGGCGAGGCUAUUGAGGCACUCCAAGGCC